GACGAACGCUGGCGGCGUGCCUAACACAUGCAAGUCGAGCGGAGAUAGGCGGAAGGUAACUGAAGCUUAUCUUAGUGGCGGACGGGUGAGUAACGCGUGAGGAGCUGUCCUAUGCAGGGGGGACAACAGCUGGAAACGGCUGCUAAUACCCCAUAAGCCGAGAGGCAAAAGGAUCAAUCCGGCAGAGGAGGUACUCGCGUCCUAUCAGCUAGUAGGUGAGGUAACGGCUCACCUAGGCGAAGACGGGUAGCCGGCCUGAGAGGGCGAACGGCCACACUGGAACUGAGAUACGGUCCAGACUCCUACGGGAGGCAGCAGUGGGGAAUAUUGGGCAAUGGGGGAAACCCUGACCCAGCGACGCCGCGUGGGUGAAGAAAUCCUUCGGGAUGUAAAGCCCUGUUGUAUGGGAAGAGCGGAAGACGGUACCAUACGAGGAAGCCCCGGCAAACUACGUG
rnacentral:rRNA from 1 species